CCUUUCUACGGAGAAUUCAGGCCAGCGUUCUGCUGGCCGGUGUCGCCCGAGCGGGCCGGAUGCUCCGGUCCUUGAGUCUCGGGCUGCUGGUGUGGAAGAGAUCAUGAUGAUCGUCUGGCUGGCCCUCGGGCCGGGAAGUACGUAUGGGAUGCGCUUUUGGGCUCCCGGAUCGCCACCCCAACCGUUAUGGUUGGUGCGAUUCGUGCCCUCGCGUCCGGGCUGGCCGUUGUGGCUGUGUCUGGGUGCGUGGUGCGUGGUGGUUUGAGAACUGGAUAGUGGACGCGAGCGAAGAACAUUUGUUCUUUGCUUUGUUAGAUUUGACAAUUUCGACCGAUCUUGAUUUUUUUCGGGGUCGCGUCGAUCGUUUUGUGAUCAUUUUAGUGUGAUGAUAGUUGUCCGAGAGCAAGCUAUAUGAGAUCCUUGCGGCGUAUGCAUUCGUGCGAACGGGUGCG
rnacentral:misc_RNA from 1 species